UAUGAGUUGAGAUACGGACACAAAAAUAGAGCCGGGAAAGGUCAAUUUAUUUCCAUGCGCUUUCUAUCAAAUUUGUUUCUCAUCAAAGGAAUUAUGAUUUGAUUGAUACUUGAUACAUCUAAAAGUGGCGAGUCCUGCUUGAUUAAAAAUUAAUCUGUUUCUCAGCAUUGGACACAAUUGCUUUUGUAUUAUGCAACCUUCCCAACCAGCACACAUUAGGGCACUUGGUUACAGUCGAGCUGGAGGGCUAUUAUUUUGUUUACUAUUUUGUUCCCUCAUUGGCUACUAUUUUGUUCUUAUUUUUUUCAUAGGUGAAAUGUGAAGCCAAGCGUGAAGUCGUGAAGCCUAUAUGCAAAGAGUAGCAUAUCAUAGUAGACUGUAGUAGGCAUAUUUGAGUUGUAGUAGUGUAAAGAUUGUAAUAGACUAAUUUAGUGUUUUUUUGGACGAAUUUUAUUUGUUCUGUGAUCUGUUCAAAAUAUUGAUUUCAUAUGUGAUUUUUAUACCUAUGAAAUGGAAACCUCACAAAUUGUUUGACAAAUUACAAAAUUUAUGGUGUCG
rnacentral:lncRNA from 1 species